CCUACGGGUGGCUGCAGUGGGGAAUAUUGCACAAUGGGCGCAAGCCUGAUGCAGCCAUGCCGCGUGUGUGAAGAAGGCCUUCGGGUUGUAAAGCACUUUCAGCGGGGAGGACGGCGGUGAGGUUAAUAACCUCAUCGAUUGACGUUACCCGCAGAAGAAGCACCGGCUAACUCCGUGCCAGCAGCCGCGGUAAUACGGAGGGUGCAAGCGUUAAUCGGAAUUACUGGGCGUAAAGCGCACGCAGGCGGUCCGUCAAGUCGGAUGGGAAAUCCCCGGGCUCAACCUGGGAACUGCAUUCGAAACUGGCAGGCUAGAGUCUUGUAGAGGGGGGUAGAAUUCCAGGUGUAGCGGUGAAAUGCGUAGAGAUCUGGAGGAAUACCGGUGGCGAAGGCGGCCCCCUGGACAAAGACUGACGCUCAGGUGCGAAAGCGUGGGGAGCAAACAGGAUUAGAUACCCGAGUAGUC
rnacentral:rRNA from 1 species